GACGAACGCUGGCGGCGUGCCUAAUACAUGCAAGUAGAACGCUGAAGGAGGAGCUUGCUUCUCUGGACGAGUUGCGAACGGGUGAGUAACGCGUAGGUAACCUGCCUGGUAGCGGGGGAUAACUAUUGGAAACGAUAGCUAAUACCGCAUAAGAGUAGAUGUUGCAUGACAUUUGCUUAAAAGGUGCAAUUGCAUCACUACCAGAUGGACCUGCGUUGUAUUAGCUAGUUGGUGGGGUAACGGCUCACCAAGGCGACGAUACAUAGCCGACCUGAGAGGGUGAUCGGCCACACUGGGACUGAGACACGGCCCAGACUCCUACGGGAGGCAGCAGUAGGGAAUCUUCGGCAAUGGACGGAAGUCUGACCGAGCAACGCCGCGUGAGUGAAGAAGGUUUUCGGAUCGUAAAGCUCUGUUGUAAGAGAAGAACGAGUGUGAGAGUGGAAAGUUCACACUGUGACGGUAUCUUACCAGAAAGGGACGGCUAACUACGUGCCAGCAGCCGCGGUAAUACGUGGGUGGCAAGCGUUAUCCGGAUUUAUUGGGCGUAAAGAGAGUGCAGGCGGUUUUCUAAGUCUGAUGUGAAAGCCUUCGGCUUAACCGGAGAAGUGCAUCGGAAACUGGAUAACUUGAGUGCAGAAGAGGGUAGUGGAACUCCAUGUGUAGCGGUGGAAUGCGUAGAUAUAUGGAAGAACACCAGUGGCGAAGGCGGCUACCUGGUCUGCAACUGACGCUGAGACUCGAAAGCAUGGGUAGCGAACAGG
rnacentral:rRNA from 1 species